CCCUUAGAUGUCAUGGGCCGCACGCGCGCUACACUGAUGCAUGCAACGAGUUUAUAACCUUGGCCUGAAAGGUCUGGGUAAUCUUUUGAACGUGCAUCGUGAUAGGGAUAGAUUAUUGCAAUUGUUAAUCUUGAACGAGGAAUUCCUAGUAAACGCGAGUCAUCAGCUCGCAUUGAUUACGUCCCUGCCCUUUGUACACACCGCCCGUCGCACCUACCGAUUGAAUGGUUCGGUGAAGAUCUCGGACUUCGAUAUUUAUUCUUUAUUGAGUUUAUAUUGUGGGAAGUUAUCUAAACCUCAUCAUUUAGAGGAAGGUGAAGUCGUAACA
rnacentral:rRNA from 1 species